UACGUAGGGUGCGAGCGUUAAUCGGAAUUACUGGGCGUAAAGCGUGCGCAGGCGGCUUUGCAAGACAGAUGUGAAAUCCCCGGGCUCAACCUGGGAACUGCAUUUGUGACUGCAAGGCUUGAGUACGGCAGAGGGGGAUGGAAUUCCGCGUGUAGCAGUGAAAUGCGUAGAUAUGCGGAGGAACACCAAUGGCGAAGGCAAUCCCCUGGGCCUGUACUGACGCUCAUGCACGAAAGCGUGGGGAGCAAACAGG
rnacentral:rRNA from 1 species